GACAGCCCCGUACACAAAAAUGCACAUAUUGUGAGCUCGAUGAGUAGGGCGGGACACGUGGUAUCCUGUCUGAAUAUGGGGGGACCAUCCUCCAAGGCUAAAUACUCCUGACUGACCGAUAGUGAACCAGUACCGUGAGGGAAAGGCGAAAAGAACCCCGGCGAGGGGAGUGAAAAAGAACCUGAAACCGUGUACGUACAAGCAGUGGGAGCCUCUUAAUGGGGUGACUGCGUACCUUUUGUAUAAUGGGUCAGCGACUUAUAUUCUGUAGCAAGGUUAACCGAAUAGGGGAGCCGAAGGGAAACCGAGUCUUAACUGGGCGUUAAGUUGCAGGGUAUAGACCCGAAACCCGGUGAUCUAGCCAUGGGCAGGUUGAAGGUUGGGUAACACUAACUGGAGGACCGAACCGACUAAUGUUGAAAAAUUAGCGGAUGACUUGUGGCUGGGGGUGAAAGGCCAAUCAAACCGGGAGAUAGCUGGUUCUCCCCGAAAGCUAUUUAGGUAGCGCCUCGUGAAUUCAUCUCCGGGGGUAGAGCACUGUUUCGGCAAGGGGGUCAUCCCGACUUACCAACCCGAUGCAAACUGCGAAUACCGGAGAAUGUUAUCACGGGAGACACACGGCGGGUGCUAACGUCCGUCGUGAAGAGGGAAACAACCCAGACCGCCAGCUAAGGUCCCAAAGUCAUGGUUAAGUGGGAAACGAUGUGGGAAGGCCCAGACAGCCAGGAUGUUGGCUUAGAAGCAGCCAUCAUUUAAAGAAAGCGUAAUAGCUCACUGGUCGAGUCGGCCUGCGCGGAAGAUGUAACGGGGCUAAACCAUGCACCGAAGCUGCGGCAGCGACACUAUGUGUUGUUGGGUAGGGGAGCGUUCUGUAAGCCUGUGAAGGUGGCCUGUGAGGGUUGCUGGAGGUAUCAGAAGUGCGAAUGCUGACAUAAGUAACGAUAAAGCGGGUGAAAAGCCCGCUCGCCGGAAGACCAAGGGUUCCUGUCCAACGUUAAUCGGGGCAGGGUGAGUCGACCCCUAAGGCGAGGCCGAAAGGCGUAGUCGAUGGGAAACAGGUUAAUAUUCCUGUACUUGGUGUUACUGCGAAGGGGGGACGGAGAAGGCUAUGUUGGCCGGGCGACGGUUGUCCCGGUUUAAGCGUGUAGGCUGGUUUUCCAGGCAAAUCCGGAAAAUCAAGGCUGAGGCGUGAUGACGAGGCACUACGGUGCUGAAGCGACAAAUGCCCUGCUUCCAGGAAAAGCCUCUAAGCAUCAGGUAACAUUAAAUCGUACCCCAAACCGACACAGGUGGUCAGGUAGAGAAUACCAAGGCGCUUGAGAGAACUCGGGUGAAGGAACUAGGCAAAAUGGUGCCGUAACUUCGGGAGAAGGCACGCUGAUAUGUAGGUGAAGCGACUUGCUCGUGGAGCUGAAAUCAGUCGAAGAUACCAGCUGGCUGCAACUGUUUAUUAAAAACACAGCACUGUGCAAACACGAAAGUGGACGUAUACGGUGUGACGCCUGCCCGGUGCCGGAAGGUUAAUUGAUGGGGUUAGCGGCAACGCGAAGCUCUUGAUCGAAGCCCCGGUAAACGGCGGCCGUAACUAUAACGGUCCUAAGGUAGCGAAAUUCCUUGUCGGGUAAGUUCCGACCUGCACGAAUGGCGUAAUGAUGGCCAGGCUGUCUCCACCCGAGACUCAGUGAAAUUGAACUCGCUGUGAAGAUGCAGUGUACCCGCGGCAAGACGGAAAGACCCCGUGAACCUUUACUAUAGCUUGACACUGAACAUUGAGCCUUGAUGUGUAGGAUAGGUGGGAGGCUUUGAAGUGUGGACGCCAGUCUGCAUGGAGCCGACCUUGAAAUACCACCCUUUAAUGUUUGAUGUUCUAACGUGGGCCCGUAAUCCGGGUUGCGGACAGUGUCUGGUGGGUAGUUUGACUGGGGCGGUCUCCUCCUAAAGAGUAACGGAGGAGCACGAAGGUUGGCUAAUCCUGGUCGGACAUCAGGAGGUUAGUGCAAUGGCAUAAGCCAGCUUGACUGCGAGCGUGACGGCGCGAGCAGGUGCGAAAGCAGGUCAUAGUGAUCCGGUGGUUCUGAAUGGAAGGGCCAUCGCUCAACGGAUAAAAGGUACUCCGGGGAUAACAGGCUGAUACCGCCCAAGAGUUCAUAUCGACGGCGGUGUUUGGCACCUCGAUGUCGGCUCAUCACAUCCUGGGGCUGAAGUAGGUCCCAAGGGUAUGGCUGUUCGCCAUUUAAAGUGGUACGCGAGCUGGGUUUAGAACGUCGUGAGACAGUUCGGUCCCUAUCUGCCGUGGGCGCUGGAGAACUGAGGGGGGCUGCUCCUAGUACGAGAGGACCGGAGUGGACGCAUCACUGGUGUUCGGGUUGUCAUGCCAAUGGCACUGCCCGGUAGCUAAAUGCGGAAGAGAUAAGUGCUGAAAGCAUCUAAGCACGAAACUUGCCCCGAGAUGAGUUCUCCCUGACCCUUUAAGGGUCCUGAAGGAACGUUGAAGACGACGACGUUGAUAGGCCGGGUGUGUAAGCGCAGCGAUGCGUUGAGCUAACCGGUACUAAUGAACCGUGAGGCUUAACCUU
rnacentral:rRNA from 1 species